GGUGAGUAACGUGUGGGUAACCUGCCUUAUACUGUGGAAUAAUCACUUGAAAAGGUGACUAAUACCGCAUGUGGUCUCUGGAGGGCAUCCUCUGGAGAAGAAAGGAUUUAUUCGGUAUAAGAUGGACCCGCAUCUGAUUAGCUAGUUGGUGAGAUAAUAGCCCACCAAGGCAACGAUCAGUAGCCGACCUGAGAGGGUGAUCGGCCACAUUGGGACUGAGACACGGCCCAA
rnacentral:rRNA from 1 species